UACGGAGGGGGCUAGCGUUGUUCGGAAUUACUGGGCGUAAAGGGCGCGUAGGCGGACUUGUAAGUCAGGGGUGAAAUCCCAAGGCUCAACCUUGGAACUGCCUUUGAUACUGUGGGUCUUGAGUCCGGGAGAGGUGAGUGGAACUGCGAGUGUAGAGGUGAAAUUCGUAGAUAUUCGCAAGAACACCAGUGGCGAAGGCGGCUCACUGGCCCGGAACUGACGCUGAGGCGCGAAAGCGUGGGGAGCAAACAGG
rnacentral:rRNA from 1 species